rnacentral:tRNA from 1 species
UGUACAUAUAUAUUAGGCUUUGAAAGCCCAAAUAGGUAAGCUACCAUGUAUAA